CCGCCGCCGCCGCGCCCUCC
rnacentral:miRNA from 1 species